rnacentral:rRNA from 1 species
UACAGAGGGUGCGAGCGUUAAUCGGAAUUACUGGGCGUAAAGCGUGCGUAGACGGUUAUGUAAGUCAGGUGUGAAAGCCCCGGGCUCAACCUGGGAAUGGCGAUGGAUACUGGCGAGCUAGAGUACGGUAGAGGAGAGUGGAAUUCCCGGUGUAGCGGUGAAAUGCGUAGAUAUUGGGAGGAACACCAGUGGCGAAGGCGGCUACCUGGACCGGUUCUGACGCUGAUGCGCGAAAGCGUGGGUAGCAAACAGG